GAGGUGUAACUCAGAUGGACAGAGUGCUUGUUUCCGAAGCAAGUGGUCACAGGUACCGCUUCGCGCAAGCUACGAUCCCUGUCAUCCUCG
rnacentral:tRNA from 1 species